rnacentral:ncRNA from 1 species
CUAAAAGCUAUGAAAGAGUAAAGUAAUUUUAACUAAAGUUUACAGAGAGCCGGGGUUUGCUGGGAGCCUGGUAGCAAAGGUUAAGAUGAAGUUCCCUCUGGAGUUGUCUGCUGAACUACAAGUAGGUAAGACCGGGUCUUCCGCCGUUAUAAGGAAGGGGAUAUUAAGACGAACUGUUUACAGUUGGUUGCGUAUCCUUUAAGUGGGUCUUAUUGGCCAACAAAGGUGGUACCGCGAGUUAACCUCUCGUCCUUUUU